rfam:Rhizobiales bacterium HL-109 ITZY_scaf_296, whole genome shotgun sequence.
GGGCGCGUAGCUCAGCGGGAGAGCACUACGUUGACAUCGUAGGGGUCGCUGGUUCAAUCCCAGCCGCGCCCA